CCUAGGCCUAAUCGCCGUACUGACGAUGAUAGCGAGUGAUGCUUUGGGUUGCUGCCACCACCCCUACUGCUCCCGGUCCUUCUGUUUGUGUUCAUCAAGGUUCCAGUCAACUGAUUCAGGCAAAUGUUGGGCGUUGGUACUCAUCGAGCCGCCGAUCUUCAAUCCGAUCCAUUCAAGUCAAGCUUGACUGAUCGAUGCAGGGCGAACCAAGGCGGGCCUGACUGAUUGAUGCAGGGCGAAGCAAGGCCGGGCUCAAUUUCUAUUGGUUCUAUCGAUGGCGGUAACGGCCUCGCUCGACUCUUCCUUGGCGUUGACACUUGACAUGCGGUGGAUUUUCACGUCCCUAUGCGCCUUCCUCUAAUCACUAGAUAACAAUACAAAGGUUUAACAUGGAUUGAUUGGUCGAGGAGAGUAUGUCAACAAGAUAUGAUGCUAGAAACAUGGAGUUCCCCAGGGAGUCAACUCGAUGUACUACAGUAACCUCGGCUGAUCUUAUCUUCGGAACCUCUGAAUGGCUUUACGAUUUGCAAAUAAGGAUCCCUGAUUAUAUUGCUAUGUUUUGAUACACGGUUGUACCUUCCGAAACCUGUGCUGGAUGCUUCGGGUGUUGUCUUCCUCAAUGAGAAAUCGUUCCAUGCACCCGGCAACAGUGAGAACAGACUUCAGAACUUAUGUUAGAACAGUCUUAACUGGAACAAAAUUAACUAAACUCUUGGUCCGAUAUGUAAUUUGUGAUAAAAUCUUACCUUCUUUUGGUUUUCUAACAAAUGUCUUGGCUCUGUUUUGUUUGGAGCCACCCGGUAGUUCUAUGCUGCUGCACAAAUACAUUGUGCUUUUUAGGACUGAAUUUUUUUCAUCGUUCAAUUCUUCUGGAUGAUGUUCUAUUUGCUCAUUUUUUAAACUC